AGACUCCUACGGGAGGCAGCAGUGGGGAAUAUUGCACAAUGGGCGCAAGCCUGAUGCAGCAACGCCGCGUGUGUGAAGAAGGCCUGCGGGUUGUAAAGCACUUUUAUUAGGAAAGAAAAACCCGGAACUAAUACUUCCGGCAUUGACGGUACCUAAAGAAUAAGCACCGGCUAACUCAGUGCCAGCAGCCGCGGUAAUACUGAGGGUGCAAGCGUUAAUCGGAAUUACUGGGCGUAAAGCGAGUGUAGGCGGUUACCUAAGUCGGAUGUGAAAGCCCUGGGCUCAACCUGGGAAUGGCAUUCGAUACUGGGUAACUAGAGUUUGGUAGAGGUAAGUGGAAUUCCGGAUGUAGCGGUGAAAUGCGUAGAUAUCCGGAGGAACAUCAGUGGCGAAGGCGGCCUACUGGACCAAUACUGACGCUGAGGCGCGAAGGCGUGGGGAGCAAACAGGAUUAGAUACCCUGGUAGUCCACGCAGUAAACGGUGAUCACUAGGUGUAGCGGGUAUUGACCCCUGCUGUGCCGCAGCAAACGCAUUAAGUGAUCCGCCUGGGGAGUACGACCGCAAGGUUAAAACUCAAGGAAUUGACGGGGGCCCGCACAAGCGG
rnacentral:rRNA from 1 species